rnacentral:ribozyme from 1 species
ACUCGGCUUGGCGAGUAUAAAUAGCCAUUAAGCCAAGCGCGUCCUUGCCCGGUGUAAAAAACCGGGCAAGGGGUUGGA